GAGACUGAGAAUAAGUUAACCAAUAUAGCAUUGAUUAUUAGAACUGUGAUAUAAUUUCUGUUAUAAAUCGAAUCUUGUGCUUGUUUGAAACUGGUAUAAAAAGGUUAGCACGCUAAUAACAUCUUUGUUUACUGGUUAGUUCAAAUUGAUACAUAAAAUGUUUCUAAAGGAUAAUGCUAGAGUAGAUGAGAAAAUGACAAGGAUAGGCAGUAAAGGCGAAAAUUAGGCAAGAACCUAAGUUUGGGGGAUUAUAUGUGGGGUAUAUAAGCUUUAUGAAAAAAAAUGAAAGAAAAAAAAGUAUAUAUCGGGACUAGUCUUGUUUCGGGGCCUUUGUUACUUGAGCAAGUACGCCCGAUGGGAUUGUCUUUACACCUAGUGCCCUAAGGUCUUUUAUGGUCUGGGAGUCGUUGGUCGAAAGCUUGCUAAGGGGUAGCACUGUUAGCCUAAUGAGAUGAGACAUUGCACAGUCAUGUAUGUAUCUAUGUAUAAAAAAACAAUAAAACGGGAAAAGAGCAAAAAAAACCCGUGUGAAAAAAAUUAUUAUAUAAAUGAAGUAUAAGUACCCUACAUGAACCCUUGAUUUAGGUAUUGCUUAGUUUUAGUUGUUAUGCGCUUAUUUUUGGAAUUUUUAAGUUUGCACUGUAUGAUUCCUUCUAAGAGAGUGAUUAUGUAUUGAAUUUGAGUCUGUAUCAGUUAUCUUGGAUGUUGAACACAUACGCACACUAUACCAGUGAUGAUGGUUUAAGAUUUGAGAAUUAAUACAGAAUUGUAGAUUGGUUUUGGUGAUUGAUAUUGUAGAGUUUGCUUGUUUUCUCU
rnacentral:lncRNA from 1 species